AGAGUUUGAUCCUGGCUCAGGAUGAACGCUAGCGACAGGCUUAACACAUGCAAGUCGAGGGGCAGCAUGAUUUGUAGCAAUACAGAUUGAUGGCGACCGGCGCACGGGUGAGUAACGCGUAUGCAACUUACCUAUCAGAGGGGGAUAGCCCGGCGAAAGUCGGAUUAAUACCCCAUAAAACAGGGGUCCCGCAUGGGAAUAUUUGUUAAAGAUUCAUCGCUGAUAGAUAGGCAUGCGUUCCAUUAGGCAGUUGGCGGGGUAACGGCCCACCAAACCGACGAUGGAUAGGGGUUCUGAGAGGAAGGUCCCCCACAUUGGUACUGAGACACGGACCAAACUCCUACGGGAGGCAGCAGUGAGGAAUAUUGGUCAAUGGCCGAGAGGCUGAACCAGCCAAGUCGCGUGAAGGAAGAAGGAUCUAUGGUUUGUAAACUUCUUUUAUAGGGGAAUAAAGUGGAGGACGUGUCCUUUUUUGUAUGUACCCUAUGAAUAAGCAUCGGCUAACUCCGUGCCAGCAGCCGCGGUAAUACGGAGGAUGCGAGCGUUAUCCGGAUUUAUUGGGUUUAAAGGGUGCGUAGGUGGUGAUUUAAGUCAGCGGUGAAAGUUUGUGGCUCAACCAUAAAAUUGCCGUUGAAACUGGGUUACUUGAGUGUGUUUGAGGUAGGCGGAAUGCGUGGUGUAGCGGUGAAAUGCAUAGAUAUCACGCAGAACUCCGAUUGCGAAGGCAGCUUACUAAACCAUAACUGACACUGAAGCACGAAAGCGUGGGGAUCAAACAGGAUUAGAUACCCUGGUAGUCCACGCAGUAAACGAUGAUUACUAGGAGUUUGCGAUACAAUGUAAGCUCUACAGCGAAAGCGUUAAGUAAUCCACCUGGGGAGUACGCCGGCAACGGUGAAACUCAAAGGAAUUGACGGGGGCCCGCACAAGCGGAGGAACAUGUGGUUUAAUUCGAUGAUACGCGAGGAACCUUACCCGGGCUUAAAUUGCAACUGACUGAACCGGAAACGGUUCUUUCUUCGGACAGUUGUGAAGGUGCUGCAUGGUUGUCGUCAGCUCGUGCCGUGAGGUGUCGGCUUAAGUGCCAUAACGAGCGCAACCCUUAUCGAUAGUUACCAUCAGGUGAUGCUGGGGACUCUGUCGAGACUGCCGUCGUAAGAUGUGAGGAAGGUGGGGAUGACGUCAAAUCAGCACGGCCCUUACGUCCGGGGCUACACA
rnacentral:rRNA from 1 species